rnacentral:sRNA from 1 species
GCUGGGUGUGGUGGCGGGCACCUGUAAUCCCAGCUACUCGGGUGGCUGAGGUAGGAGAAUCACUUGAACCCAGGAGGUGGAGGUUGCAGUGAGCCGAGAUCAUACCACUGCACUCCAGCCUGGGUGACAAAGUGAGACUCCAUCUCAA